UACGUAGGGUGCAAGCGUUAAUCGGAAUCACUGGGCGUAAAGCGUGCGCAGGCGGCCUUGCAAGACAGAUGUGAAAUCCCCGGGCUCAACCUGGGAACUGCAUUUGUGACUGCAUGGCUGGAGUGCGGCAGAGGGGGAUGGAAUUCCGCGUGUAGCAGUGAAAUGUGUAGAUAUGCGGAGGAACACCGAUGGCGAAGGCAAUCCCCUGGGCCUGCACUGACGCUCAUGCACGAAAGCGUGGGGAGCAAACAGG
rnacentral:rRNA from 1 species